rnacentral:misc_RNA from 1 species
GAUGAAGAACGCAGCGAAAUGCGAUACUUGGUGUGAAUUGCAGAAUCCCGUUAACCAUCGAGUCUUUGAACGCAAGUUGCGCCCGAAGCCAUCAGGUUGAGGGCACGUCUGCCUGGGCGUCACAUAUCGUUGCCCAAUGCCUAUUGCAGUGCAAUAGGAAUUUCUAGGGCGAAUGAUGGCUUCCCGUGAGCGUUGUUGCCUCGCGGUUGGUUGAAAAUCGAGUCCUUGGUAGGGUGUGCCAUGGUAGAUGGUGGUCGAGUUAGAACGAUACCGAUCAUGUGCAUGCUCCCCAAAAUAUGGCCUCUAUGACCCACACGCGUCUUUUGACGCUCAUGACGAGACCUCAGGUCAGGCGGGGCUACCCGCUGAAUUUAAGCAUAUCAAUAAGCGGAGGA